rnacentral:misc_RNA from 1 species
GUACUCCUUGAGGCAUGCCUGUUCGAGCGCCGUUUGAAAUCCUAAAGUUUACUUUGUGUUGGCCAUUUGCGUAGCAAGGCUCAAAGAAAUCUGCCCAAUUGUGGUUGCGUGAAGCAGUGAAAAUGUUUCCGUUUCUGGCAAAAAGGCACGUCAAACGAUCGCAUGGCCUCGGAUCAGGCAAGGCUACCCGCUGAACUUAA